rnacentral:rRNA from 1 species
UACGUAGGUCCCAAGCGUUGUCCGGAUUUAUUGGGCGUAAAGCGAGCGCAGGUGGUUUCUUAAGUCUGAUGUAAAAGGCAGUGGCUCAACCAUUGUGUGCAUUGGAAACUGGGAGACUUGAGUGCAGGAGAGGAGAGUGGAAUUCCAUGUGUAGCGGUGAAAUGCGUAGAUAUAUGGAGGAACACCGGAGGCGAAAGCGGCUCUCUGGCCUGUAACUGACACUGAGGCUCGAAAGCGUGGGGAGCAAACA